rnacentral:rRNA from 1 species
UACGGAGGGGGCUAGCGUUGUUCGGAAUUACUGGGCGUAAAGCGCGCGUAGGCGGACCUGCAAGUCGGGGGUGAAAGCCCGAGGCUCAACCUCGGAACUGCCUUCGAUACUGCGGGUCUCGAGUCCGGGAGAGGUGAGUGGAAUUCCUAGUGUAGAGGUGAAAUUCGUAGAUAUUAGGAAGAACACCAGUGGCGAAGGCGGCUCACUGGCCCGGUACUGACGCUGAGGCGCGAAAAGCGUGGGGGAGCGAACAGG